CUCUCCCUGGCAGAGCUUAUGUUUUCAGAGCCACAGAGAUUAAGUUGAGCCCCUCCUCUCUGACCCUGGGGUUUGUACAAAAACUGGGUUAAGGCUGGGUAAGUCCAGAUUCUCGGUUAUAAUCUUGACAGAGCUGGGCUCUAAUCCCAGUUGAGGCCAACAACCAGUGGCAGCCUCGGAGAACAUGGCCAGAGCCUUGGUGAGAACACUGAGCAGACGUGGAGACAGCUUGGGCUCCAGGUGUCCAAGUCCAAGGUGGCCACUUGGUGUUCCAGCCAAGCCACCUCACUUUGGCCCCAGCUUCAAGGAGAAGGCCCCGUCCCAUGCUUUGGGAGAAGAUUCAUUAGGUUUUUGCCUUUGGAGCUGGGGCAGGAAUCCAGGACUGCAUACUCUACCACUGAGAUCCCUCCUUUGAGAUGGAAUAGAAGACAAAUGAACAAGCCAGCUGUUACUGUAUGAAAAAAGGAAAUGACUUAGGACACCCCAGAGGAGCUAAAGAACCUGGUUCCCCAGAUGGCUACACCGAGCAGAGCCGCGUCCAGGCUGCACCUUUCAGGCUCCGUGCAUUGUUCAUGGUGGACAAGAAACUGCCUCUGUUUGAGCACUCUA